rnacentral:rRNA from 1 species
GAGCCUGCGGCGGAUUAGCUAGUUGGUAAGGUAACGGCUUACCAAGGCUAUGAUCCGUAACCGGCCUGAGAGGGCGGUCGGUCACACUGACACUGACAUACGGGUCAGACUCCUACUUUUGGCAGCAGUCGGGAAUUUUGGGCAAUGGGCGAAAGCCUGACCCAG